rnacentral:rRNA from 1 species
GUGAGGAAUAUUGUGCAAUGGAGGCAACUCUGACGCAGCCAUGCCGCGUGCAGGAAGAAGGCGCUACGCGUUGUAAACUGCUUUUAACCGGGAAGAAACCCCAGGACGUGUCCUGGGUUGACGGUACCGGAGGAAUAAGCACCGGCUAACUUCGUGCCAGCAGCCGCGGUAAUACGAAGGGUGCAAGCGUUAUCCGGAUUCAUUGGGUUUAAAGGGUGCGUAGGCGGAGCGUUAAGUCAGUGGUGAAAUCCUGCAGCUUAACUGUAGACUUGCCAUUGAUACUGGCGCUCUUGAGUGCGCUUGAAGUGGGCGGAAUGUGCCGUGUAGCGGUGAAAUGCUUAGAUAUGGCACAGAACACCAAUUGCGAAGGCAGCUCACUAAGGCGAUACUGACGCUGAGGCACGAAAGCGUGGGGAUCGAACAGGAUUAGAAACCCUUGUAGUCC